CAGCCGCCGCGGUAAUUCAGAGGGUGCAAGCGUUGCUCGGAAUCACUGGGCGUAAAGCGCACGUAGGCGGACCCUUAAGUCGGUGGUGAAAUCCUGGAGCUCAACUCCAGAACUGCCUUCGAUACUGGGAGUCUUGAGUUCGGGAGAGGUGAGUGGAACUGCGAGUGUAGAGGUGAAAUUCGUAGAUAUUCGCAAGAACACCAGUGGCGAAGGCGGCUCACUGGCCCGAUACUGACGCUGAGGCACGAAAGCGUGGGGAGCAAACAGGAUUAGAUACCCUGGUAGUCCACGCCGUAAACGAUGAGAACUAGGUGUCGUGGGAGUUGACCCCCGCGGUGCCGAAGCUAACGCAUUAAGUUCUCCGCCUGGGGAGUACGGUCGCAAGACUAAAACUUAAAGGAAUUGACGG
rnacentral:rRNA from 1 species